rnacentral:rRNA from 1 species
GCGGUUAAAAAGCUCGUAGUUGGAUUUCUGUUGAGGACGGCCGGUCCGCACUAUGUGCGUGUAUCUGGUUCGGCCUUGGCAUCCUCUUGAGGAACGUAUCUGCGCUUGAUUGCGUGGAGCGGUAUUCAAGACUUUUACUUUGAGGAAAUUAGAGUGUUCACGGCAGGCAAGCGCCUUGAAUACGUUAGCAUGGAAUGAUAAUAUAGGAUCUUGGUUCUAUUUUGUUGGUUUCUAGAGCUAAGGUAAUGAUUAAUAGGGAUAAUUGGGGGCAUUUGUAUUAACGCGUCAGAGGUGGAAUUCUUGGAUUGCGUUACGACAAACUACUGCGAAAGCAUUUGCCAAGGAUGUUUUCAUUGAUCAAGAACGAAAGUAUGGGGAUCGAAGAUGAUUAGAUACCGUCGUAGUCUAUACCAUAAACUAUGCCGACUAGGGAUUGGAGGUCGUUCUUUUUAUGACUCCUUCAGCACCUCAUGAGAAAUCAAAGUCUUUGGGUUCCGGGGGGAGUAUAGUCGCAAGGCUGAAACUUAAAGGAAUUGACGGAAGGGCACCACCAGGAGUGGAGCCUGCGGCUUAAUUUGACUCAACACGGGGAAACUCACCAGGUCCAGACAUAGUAAGGAUUGACAGAUUGAUAGCUCUUUCUUGAUUCUAUGGGUGGUGGUGCAUGGCCG